AAUCAGCAUUUUGUUCUGAUUAGCUGCUUUGAUUGAUGUAUAUUUCUUCAUUAAUUCUUCUUCUUUUUCUCUCUUUUUUUUUUUUUUUUUUUCUUCUAACUACAGCAAACAUACCAUUGGGGAAUACUAUAAAAAUACCAGAAUAAAGUGCCACUUUCAAGCCUUCCUCUAUCUCUCAUGGGUCCAGCGAUGAUCUUUCCAGAACACGUGUUGCUCACACAACAGGAGACUCUGACUCUUGCUCAAGAAGAGAAGCUCAGGCUGUGCUACUUCUGUUUUAGAUUUCCUUCCCACCAUGGAAGAUCUGAGGACAGUCACAGACUUGAUUCCAAAGUCUGUUCAAGGCAAGCAGGGCAUGACAAAAGUCUCUUUUACAGAUGCUGUGGCUCUGAAAUCCUAAGUUAUCUGGCUCUGAAGUCCUAAGUAAUCCUCAUGUGUUCUGUCUCCUGGACUCCUAAGGGGGUAGAGCAGUUCAAUUAAAUAUUCAUUCCCAGCUCCCACUGAAGCAUUUCUGAACCCAUUUCUCCCAGUGUCUGUGCAUUUGACAGAUCCUGCCCCCACUGCUCCUAUCUCAAGAGCAUACAAGCAGAAGUGGGACGCUGUAACAAGAAUCCAGAAGCCAGAGCUGUCAGACCAAGUCUUCCUAGAUACCAAAGGGGCUAAGAAAAGAAUGGGUGCUUGUUGUAUUUCUGGCAGGGAUGGUUGCUGAAAAGCCUAGAGAGAAGGAUCCUGAGACACCUCAGCUUCCAAGCUCCGAUGGGUAUAUUUCUAGUUGAUCAAUCUCUAUGUCUUUGAGGCUGAACUAACUUCCCACUUCAGGCUUCUGACAGCUGGACAAAGCAGGGUUUGAGCUGUGCCUUGCUCUAAGUAAGUGUGGAGAGAUGUUUUCAAUCUGACCUUGCCAAAUCAGUCCCUGGCUUGGGGCGUUUGCUGAAAUCCAGGAAAGAUUUUCCCACUGCAUUUCAAGUGGGUAAAACAAAUUCUAUCCACAGAGGUUUGAUUGAGUAUUGAAGCAACAAGCAUUCUGGGAGAUAUGAAUCUGCCUUAUGAUCUGCAGAGUCUCUAGCUUUUUAAAGUAGAGUAUACAUAUACAAGUGGAUUUGGUGGUGGUGGAGCUAGCUAAAAGCCUAUUAUAAAGUAUAAUUUUCACAGAGACCGAAGGAUUAUUUUUAACGGCACUGUGGCUGUGUACAUUAUUAACCUUCUAUCUUAUAAAGAUAAGGUUUGGCAUGAGCAAAUGUGGACUUUGUUUUGCUUUUUGUUCCUAAGAUCAUGUAUGUUGUUAAAGUACAUCAGAUAAUGAGAUGCAAAAACAUAAAGACAGACAUAAGAAAG
rnacentral:lncRNA from 1 species